rnacentral:rRNA from 1 species
GGGUCAUUAGGUUGGUCGUGCCACCGGUACGUACUGGUCUCACUGAUUCCUCCUUCCUGAAGAACCGUAACGCCAUUAAUUUGGUGUUGCGGGGAAACAGGACUGUUACUUUGAAAAAAUUAGAGUGUUUAAAGCAAGCUAAUGCUUGAAUACAUUAGCAUGGAAUAAUGAAAUAGGACGAUCGAUCCUAUUUUGUUGGUUUCUAGGAUUGACGUA